rnacentral:rRNA from 1 species
CACGUAGGGGACGAGCGUUGUCCGGAUUCAUUGGGCGUAAAGCGCGCGUAGGCGGCUCGGAAAGUCGGGCGUGAAAUGCCGGGGCUCAACCCCGGGACUGCGUCCGAUACUUCCGGGCUGGAGGUAGGUAGGGGAGAUCGGAAUUCCUGGUGUAGCGGUGAAAUGCGCAGAUAUCAGGAGGAACACCGGUGGCGAAGGCGGAUCUCUGGGCCUUACCUGACGCUGAGGCGCGAAAGCUAGGGGAGCGAACAGG